rnacentral:rRNA from 1 species
GCGACCCCAGAUCAAGCGAGAAC